GACGAACGCUGGCGGCGUGCUUAACACAUGCAAGUCGAACGGAAAGGCCCUGCUUUUGUGGGGUGCUCGAGUGGCGAACGGGUGAGUAACACGUGAGUAACCUGCCCUUGACUUUGUGAUAACUUCAGGAAACUGGGGCUAAUACCGGAUAGGAGCUCCUGCUGCAUGGUGGGGGUUGGAAAGUUUCGGCGGUUGGGGAUGGUCUGGCGGCUUAUCAGCUUGUUGGUGAGGUAGUGGCUUACCAAGGCUUUGACGGGUAGCCGGCCUGAGAGGGUGACCGGCGACAUUGGGCCUGAGAGACGCCGCAGACGCCUACGGGAGGCAGCAGUGGGGAGUAUGGCACAAUGGGCGGAAGCCUGAUGCAGCAACGCCGCGUGCGGGAUGACGGCCUUCGGGGUAUAAACCGCUUUCGACGGUAACGAAGCGUGAGUGACGGUACUGGGUAAAGAAGCACCGGCUAACUACGUG
rnacentral:rRNA from 1 species